rnacentral:rRNA from 1 species
UGCGUAGGCGGAAGAUUAAGUCAGUGAUGAAAUCCUGCAGCUCAACUGUAGAACUGUCAUUGAUACUGAUUUUCUUGAAUACAGUUGAGGUAGGCGGAAUAUGUAAUGUAGCGGUGAAAUGCUUAGAUAUUACAUAGAACACCAAUUGCGAAGGCAGCUUAAUAAACUGUGAUUGACGCUGAGGCACGAAAGCGUGGGGAGCGAACAGGAUUAGAUACCCUGGUAGUC